rnacentral:rRNA from 1 species
GACGAACGCUGGCGGCGUGCUUAACACAUGCAAGUCGAACGGAAAGGCCCUGCUUUUGUGGGUUGCUCGAGUGGCGAACGGGUGAGUAACACGUGAGUAACCUGCCCUUGACUUUGGGAUAACUUCAGGAAACUGGGGCUAAUACCGGAUAGGAGCUCCUGCUGCACGGUGGGGGAUGGAAAGUUUCGGCGGUUGGGGAUGGACUGGCGGCUUAUCAGCUUGUUGGUGGGGUAGUGGUAUGCCAAGGCUUUGACGGGUAGCCGGCCUGGGAGGGGUGCCGGCGACAAUGGGCCUGAGAGAGGGCGCAGAAGGGUACGGGACGCAGCAGUCGGGAGCAUUGCGCAAUGGGCGGACGCCUGAUAUGACGACGCCGCGUGCGGGAUGAUGGGUUACGAGUUAAGAACAGCUGUCGCCUGAGCUGUGGCGUGAGUGACGGUAAUGGAUCAAAAAGCACCGGCUAACUACGUG